GAGAAGGCAAUGCUUUAGAUUCUUGGAAUUGAGAACAGAGAGAGGAUCGAGGAAAAGGGUGAGAUCUUGAUGCGUAUCCUCGAUAGGAAUUCUCGAGGAUUUGAUCUGCUGAGGUUCCACCGACGAGAGUCGGCGUCGCCGCUUUGUAUGCCCUCCUCGCCCUUCGCGUGGCCCCUGCCUCAUCUGAAGAACUCAACCGAGAGGACGGGCAGACAUCUUCCUCCUCCUCCUAGGCAUAUUAGGGCCGAUGGAAAGUAAGAACACUUCUUCGUCCUCCGCUUCCUCCUCCACGUCGUCCGUCGACGAGUUUGUCGGGCGGAAGAAUGCGAAGCCCUCGGCGACGACGUCAUCAUCCUCCUCCUUCCGCCCUGGAUAUUUCAGCACCGUCAUCCCUCCCCCAUCGGCGGUGAUCGCCAAGGAUUUGUCGCAUUCCGAUCUGUGCUGGACUCUGAACAAGCAGAGAGGCGAAGGUCGCAUCGCAAGUGCUCGCUGCGCUAAUGCAGCUGGAAGUCAAUCUCAUGGAAGCCCAAGUAGAAGGCAAAUCACACAGAACAAAGAAGGGAGACCAGCCUAUCCCAAUGAGUCAAUAGAGUCACCCUGUUUCGGCUCAUCGGUGCAUUACGGUGCCAGGGAUUUCUACACGAGCUCUUCAUCCACUCACACCUCUGGAACUUGGAAAAAUUUUAUCACUGAUGAAGGAAAUUACUUGGGUAAUCCGCAUGCUGCUGACAGAGGGGAAUGGUGGCAAGGUUCGCUUUACUAUUGAAGUUUCGAGAUCGAUACGCCAUCGUAUAGAGAAAGGGUGUCCGAGUAGCUGAUCGGUACGGUAUCGGAUUAUGAAGUGGAGCCUUGUUUUAUUUUCUUCCCCACUUUGUAAUUGGUAGGGUAGGAAACUGUUCCUUCAUAUUACCAGUGAAGGAAGAGCAGACUCCUUUAUAUCGUGGCUGUGUUACUUGAGUUUUGACUCCAUUUUGAGUUCUGAUGUGUGUGCUGCAAACUGUAUCAGGUCUGCACCUCCACCCCGUCACCUAAGAGGCUUGCUUCUCUUUAGUGUUAUGAAGGAACACUCAUACGAUUGAUAGGAUGAUACGUUUUUUUUCUGUUAGUUGUCUGGUCUUUCAUCGAAAUGGUUUUUAUUUAAUGCACGGAGCAUAAACACAUACACUGUGACGAUUAUUUUAGAAGAGAGUAGUGGUGCUGACAGAUAGCCGACCCUCCGCGCGGUGUGUGUCACGGUAUUGUGUAGCCUGCAAAGAAAAGCCGUGGUUAGGUGGGAAGAAGAGAGAGAAGCAUGCUGUGGUAACUCGCAAGAAAUCGACCGACCUCCGCACUCGUACCCCACGGGGCGGUUCGCAAGGUUGCACCGCUUGGGAAUGGUGACGGCCACUUCCGGCUUCGCUCCGACGCUCUUGGCGGUGUCGGAGAGCAUGACGGCGCAGAGGCAGGCGGGGUUCUGGCCCACCCUCUGCACCGCGCUGCAGCAGGCCGCGGAGACCUGCACCUGCGCGUCUUGUGCCGCCGACGCGCACGGCGCCAACUGCAAGGCCAUCCUCUGCACGGGAACACGCCCGCAUUCGCCAGCCCCCUCCACCCCCUUGCUCCCGCCGCCGUGGACCAAGAGGAACAGCGCCAGCACGCACAGAUGCUUCAUCCCGACCACCAUCUCGUGCUCUGCUCCGAUGAUGAACCCAACUUGCGGUGCUGCCGCCCAUUUAUACUGCCGGAGAAGCUCCUGGAGAGCAACAGAUGAGCGCCACCUCAGGACCCCAUCCACCACGCUAAGUGCUGAGAGUGGAUGCAGCACUCGAUCACAAAUGGUUUUAUUAUUGCAGCACUACCUUGAUUUGGUGUUGCUGUGGGCCCCAACUUCAUUUCAAUUCAAUUCCGUGGUAGUUGGCAGUGAUCACCCCCGCUCCGAACCUUAUCUUUGGGAGAUCAAAAGAACGACCUCAAGGAGGAGUCGCCGUGAGGAAAUAGAGCAAAAGAUUGCCGGGCUUUGACAUAUCAGUAGAGGGAUGGAUCACAUCGAGAGCCCCAUUCGAUCUUGGAUCUUUUGAUUCCAAUUCCAGCUAACGUCCGGAUCCGUCUUGGAUGCACAUCGCCACCUAAGAAGUUUCUUAGCGUUAUAAUGGAUGU